CCUACGGGAGGCAGCAGUGAGGAAUCUUGGUCAAUGGACGAGAGUCUGAACCAGCCAAGUAGCGUGAAGGAUGACUGCCCUAUGGGUUGUAAACUUCUUUUAUAUGGGAAUAAAAUGUUCCACGUGUGGGAUUUUGUAUGUACCAUAUGUAUAAGGAUCGGCUAACUCCGUGCCAGCAGCCGCGGUAAUACGGAGGAUGCGAGCGUUAUCCGGAUUUAUUGGGUUUAAAGGGAGCGUAGGUGGAUUGUUAAGUCAGUUGUGAAAGUUUGCGGCUCAACCGUAGAAUUGCAGUUGAAACUGGCAGUCUUGAGUACAGUAGAGGUGGGCGGAAUUCGUGGUGUAGCGGUGAAAUGCUUAGAUAUCACGAAGAACUCCGAUUGCGAAGGCAGUUCACUGGACUGCAACUGACACUGAGGCUCGAAAGUGUGGGUAUCAAACAGGAUUAGAUACCCCUGUAGUC
rnacentral:rRNA from 1 species